UGUGCAGUUUCAGAGUAAACCCUGCUGCUGUGUGUCACUUCACUGAAAACAAAACUGAAAGUCCAUUAACUUCUCGUACACCCAGACCUACACCAUGGAUUUAUAAGAAAACUGAUCAUUUCCAAUUUUGAUUUGCGUUGCUCUACAGAAGGUCAACACUUCAGGAUACGUUAAAACACGCACUGCUUGAAGUCCAGACAGACCGGGGCUGAGAGACAUCCGUCCCAAGGCUGGUGCUUGCAUGAGAAUGAAGUAAUGAUGUCAACAUAAAAUGAAUCUCUUCUCUCACGGGGCCCUUCAUGGAAUGCGCAAGAGGUGGGGCUCCCUCCUACAACGGAGGGGGAUUCCAUCCAGGGCAAGGGGAUUCUGUGUUCACAGACAACAAGAUGAAAGGAAAUUGGGGUUUAUUCAAUAGGUCCUUCCAUCUGUGACUUUCAGUUCUCAGUUGUCUGUGUGUGUUUUUGUGUGUGUGUCUGUGUGUGUGUAUCUGUGUGUGUGUAUCUGUGUGUGUAUCUCUGUGUGUGUGUUCUAUUACAAAAACCUGUGGGACUGUUGCUGUGUCGCUAGCGUUUUGCCCCAUGCCAUGCAUACAGCGUGUGGAGCAGAAAAGCCUGACAGGCCCCAGUAAAAUACGCCUGGGCUCUAGGGUCUCUGUGAUGCUGCCAAGUCACACAUCCUGCUCUGUCUUAGCUCAGUGUCCUUAUCUGGAAAUAGAGUGAGAGCCUAACAGGAAGACCUCGCCAUUCUGAUACGGGGACCAAGUGAUACGGUGGAGAGGAAAGACUUGGGAAAGGGUCUGUUGAAAAUAGUGCUAUUGUGACCGCGGUUCUGACACAGAUACGGACAGACAGGGCAGAGGAAGGUGAACCUGAUUCCAAAACACGCAUCGUGGAGAAUUCGUCUCACUGUUACAGAUGAGCGUGAAGAAAGCCAGAAAGGUUGAAUAACUUGCUCCAAGGCAAGUAGCCCGUUGGGAGCAGAAGUAGAGACAAAUCCCCACACAGGUAUUAUGACUGAAUGUGUCGCUCUUCUAAGUCUCUGCUAUGAUUUCACCAUGAGCCUUGAGAAUACGUGGAGAAUGGGAAGCGGCAAAGGGCCACUUGAUGACCCUGGUCACAGGAAGGCUGGAGGAACAAUGGAAAAAACAAUCAGAAAAGGCACAGAAGGACAGCAGACAAGACGUAAGAUGGCAGACAAGACGCAGUUAAGGACUACGGGCCAAUAAGGUGCAGGACGUGAUGAAAUCUGGGACGGAGGGCCUCUAGGUCAGGCCCUUGACCAUCUGCCUCAUUCCACAGUUACUGGAUUCUGUCAUGACGUCGCUUCUGUCCGGCUGGUAGCACAUUCUCUGUGGCUUUAGGUACUUCUUCAGCCCGAGUCACGGGAUGGACGGACUGACGUGCACGCUCUUCCCCAGACCUUACUGCUGCAGCCCGCGGGAGGAAGGGCUGGACUGACCUCGCCGGGGUGGGUGUGGACAAGGCAGGUGAGGUGGGGUGGAGAAGCUCCACUCUCCCGAGCCAUUAUGAGGGCCACAGAGAGCCUCUGGCCCUAUGACUCUGCUUCAGCUUCGCAAGGAGAAGCAGGGACGCUGUGAGACGGGAAUCUGCCUCUGCCCCCUUGAGGAGAGCACGUCAAAGGGUCAGGGACACGGGAAAGGGCCGGGAGCCUCGUGCACGACGGCUGGAGGUGUGUCCCGGGCAGUCCGGAGUCUAGAAGCAACUCACACAUGGUGCCGACUUCCUCUCUCCUCCUGCUUCUGGGAGAGCUCCUAAAACAGUGGAGGGGCUGUGAAAUAGGAGGCGUGGCACACUGAGCGAGGCAGCCCCCGGAGCCGCCGUGACUCCGAACGGCAUCGCCACGCAGCGGUGUUUUUCUCAUCAUCAGGGACAAGCACUGGAGGUAUCUCGUGUUUCCAGGGUGAUUCUGGGGGUCCUGACCUUUCAUUUCAAAGGCAAGUUUUGUAGCUACAUGUGUGUAUCUGAGAACUGACGGAUGCCAACAGUGCCUGCGUCCCUCCCAGCGCACACAUGGACAUGCAGGACUGGGGGGUGUGAAGACAAGUGAAGAAACAGACAGGAAAAGCGCUGUACAGGCAUAAGGAGGCAAUAAAUAGAAUCACCGUGGCAAAUCCAGAACUAAGAGAAGCUUUCCAAGGCAGGAUCGCCCACAGGUCUUUCUCCAGAAGCUCCAGUCUGCAGCCCCCUCUGUCACACCGGCAAGCCCCCGGCGGGCUCCGUCAGGGCCGCACAGGCGGAAUUCUACCGAGCUCAGAUUCUCGAUCUUAAAACGGUGCAGCAAAGAGGACGCCUUUUCCUCUCUCCAGUGUAAAGAAUGUGUUUCAAAAUAAACGUCCGGUGUCCAUUCAGCCGUUGGGUCAUUCACCACAGCGAGCGCAGAGCCGGUGGUCAGUAGCUGUUGAGUGAAACCGGUCAGGUCUGGAAAACCAUGUGUGUCUCCCGACGCCCGGAGAACGCACUCCCGCCGCUCGGGAAAGAACCUGAGUUAUUUGUCGUGGGUCACACACAAAAGGCCCCAGUCUCCCGGCUCUCGCCGAAGCCCCCAGAAACAGACAAGGACGUCUGGUUUCCUGAUUGACCUGUGACUGCUGUAUCUGGGGUUUAGCUCUAGGAACGGAGGGAAAAUGAGAUGUCUUUAAACAAUUUAUCCAUCGAAAGAGGACCCUCCCCCAGCCUGUUUGCAGCCACCUUCUUUUUUUCCCCUCUGCUCCCUUCUUUUCAAACGCUACCUGACAGACUGCCGCCGUCACCCUGUGAAUGUAAGUAAUUUCCUUGUUGACAGCCUCCGUUCUCCCUGACAUCUGCCAGCACUCCCUGACACGUGAAUAAGCAUUAAGAUAUUAACAGUCUGGCACAGGUUUGAGGGCUGGAAUAGUAAUGCUUGGCAGGCCUGCUGCACAAAGCCACACGCAGAGAGACCCCCACUCACUCGGCUCUGUCGUCCUUCUGGUUCGAAAACGCGGCGGGGCCCCGCGUAAAUGCCGAUUAUUCGCUCGACUGCCCUGGCAUUUUGGUGUCUCCUUCGACAGGCCAGAUCGUACAUUAAAAGAAAAGAAAAAGAAAAACAAGAAAAUGCCUGCUUGUGAGACCCUGUAAGGGAGAAGCAGAAGGUUCAGGAAAAAGGCAGGUCUUUGCUCACUGGGAUGAGUUAAUAUUUUAAGGGGAUUGGCUUAACAGAAAAAGCAAAGUCAAGCUCCCCAAACUGACACACAGGACAGUCUGCACAGAGCUUUCUUCUGAUAUUUUCAAAUUCUUCCCAAACACUAGCUAGCAGGUGCCACCUUUGUGCCAUGGACUUUUGUCAGAUCCUCCUGCCGAAAAUUAUGAGGCCAGAACACCACAGUAGGCUUUGUUGCCGGAAUCUGCUCCCUGAGAAAUGGCAAAGCUAUUAACAUGCUGGAGUCUUAAGCUGUGAAGUGAGUCAGAGAGUUGUCUCUGUUCUAUUCUGGGCAGGGCUUGUUUUGGAUCAAAACCCAGCAAUCCACACAGGUAAUGCUAAAAUUAACAUCAAAAUAGAAGGGGCAGAACUGCGAAGGUGACACUUGUUCCCGAGGGGAAAAUGACUCACUAUGGCUGCACUUGGGAAACAAAAGAGGAGUUAAAAUAGGUUUUACGGAAGUUCAAGGUAGUCUGAUGACGGGGUCAGUUCAAGCAUUUUGGGGCUCAAGACCUUGACAUCUUCUGGGGGCAAAGAGCCCAGAUUUUCCUCACUCCCCCCAGCUGGCCCCUGUCAGGACCCGGCGAUGCCACAGAAACAGCAGACGGUUACAUACUGAUUCCUUCUGCAGACGCCUUCAUUUCCCUGUUGUUUGACCCGAGCCUGGGUCAUUAUCUCUGCUUUGCAAGAGAGGAACGAAAAGAGGCCCCAGAAGGAUAGGGCCUUGCCCCAGAUCGCAGGUAGUAAAUGGUGGAGGCCCAGAGUGACCCUGGGUCCUGUCUUCUGGGCUGGAGUACUUCCAAGGCAUCGGCUCCCAGCCCUGGGGGCUUGGUCAAAAUUCCCAGAGAAAGGAGCCUGGAAGGACUGUGACUGCCUUUCUAGAACCCAAAGAGCCGUCUGUGGCCACGAGAAGCUGAUGGACUGGGACUGAAAGGAACCAGAAGAAUCAACUCCAAUCCACAAAGGGGGUUGCUCAGGUGGGAAGGGUGGUGCCCGUCAGACUGACCUCAUUUCUUCCUGAGCACAGCGGGGAGAGCCUCCGUGGUGGCUUGGGUGUGUCUGCUUG